CAAAAAGUAGCUUAAUCCAAAGCAUUCGCCUUACAAUUGAAAAAUGUUGACUGACCAACCUUUUUGA
rnacentral:tRNA from 1 species